rnacentral:rRNA from 1 species
CCUACGGGGGGCAGCAGUAGGGAAUCUUCCACAAUGGACGAAAGUCUGAUGGAGCAACGCCGCGUGAGUGAAGAAGGGUUUCGGCUCGUAAAGCUCUGUUGGUAGUGAAGAAAGAUAGAGGUAGUAACUGGCCUUUAUUUGACGGUAAUUACUUAGAAAGUCACGGCUAACUACGUGCCAGUAGCCGCGGUAAUACGUAGGUGGCAAGCGUUGUCCGGAUUUAUUGGGCGUAAAGCGAGUGCAGGCGGUUCAAUAAGUCUGAUGUGAAAGCCUUCGGCUCAACCGGAGAAUUGCAUCAGAAACUGUUGAACUUGAGUGCAGAAGAGGCAGACGGAAUUCCUAGUGUAGCGGUGAAAUGCGUAGAUAUUAGGAGGAACACCAGUGGCGAAGGCGGUCUGGUGGACAGCAACUGACGCUGAGGCGCGAAAGCGUGGGGAGCAAACAGGAUUAGAUACCCCUGUAGUC